GAUGAACGCUGACAGAAUGCUUAACACAUGCAAGUCUUUGGCGAAGCUGUGCUUGCACAGCCUAGCCAAGGCGGACGGGUGAGUAACGCGUAAGGAACUUGCCCUGCAGUCAGGUAUAACAGACGGAAACGACUGAUAAGACCUGGUAAAGUCAGGCGGACUCAUGUCGAGCCUGAUGAAAAGUGAUGCUGCAGGAGAGCCUUGCGUCCUAUUAGCAUGUUGGUGGGGUAACGGCCCACCAAGGCGAUGAUAGGUAGCCGGCCUGAGAGGGUGGACGGCCACAAGGGGACUGAGAUACGGCCCUUACUCCUACGGGAGGCAGCAGUGGGGAAUAUUGGACAAUGGGGGCAACCCUGAUCCAGAAAUUCUGUGUGCACGAUGAAGGUUUUCGGAUUGUAAAGUGCUUUCAGCAGGGAAGAAAAAAAUGACGGUACCUGCAGAAGAAGCGACGGCUAAAUACGUG
rnacentral:rRNA from 1 species